CAAUCGAUCACCUUAUAUUGCACACAUAGCACUUUUUAAUUUUAUUUCAUCCAAUUUAUUGCCCUUAUCCUUUUAGCCAUAGCAAGUAGCAAAAAGAAAGCAGAUAUUCUGAAAUUGAUUAGCAGAAACUAAUAGGAUUAUAUGCAGGAGAUAGUUAUUAUGGUGGAUAUGGAAUAAUUGGUUGGUCAAUUAUUUGCAACAUUCACUAAAAUAUUCUGGAUAUAUUAUAUAUUUAUAUGGAUGUGGAAUAAUUAGCAAAGUCUCUGUUUUUGUGUUUAAACUUAUGAAUGUUGGGGAGUGGGCUAAAUAAUCACCAACAUAAUGCCUGUUAGAUUUGAUAUAGUCACUUGCCAUGAAUGUAGUUUAGUCCAACAAAUUGUGUAUGAACCUCUUGAUGUACAUUCUGUGACAGCUAGUCAUAAGAUUAUACUUUGAAAUGGUGUUUUCAUAAUUGAUGAUAAUUCUUGGACAAAUGCAAUCUCGCUCCCAAAUUUACUACAGUGAUUUGUUUUAUGUUGUCUAUAUGAUAGGCAUUCUUAGGGUUUAUGAAUG
rnacentral:misc_RNA from 1 species